GCGGCGGGCGAGGGACGCGGCGAGGGGAGGGCAGCGCGCGCCGGAGCGCCAAUGAGUUCACUUUCUUUUUCUCCCCCGCGCUCUCCCCCUCUCCCUUCCCGCCGGCCCCUCUAAGCCUCCAGCUCAGCCGGAGAGGCCGCGCCGGAGUUUUCGGUUCUCGGCGGGGGAGCCGGAGGACGGUGGCGGCGAGGGAGGAGGAAGAGGAAAAGUGCAGAUCGCGGGAGAGCCCAAUCACAGGGCGAGCUGGACCGGGCUGCGAUCAUUUAUAAUCCUGGACUCCUCCGCUCCGCCACUUGUCAAGAUGACAGGGGUCAUCCAUGAAUAACACUUCACGCUGAUGAAUGGCUCUUGCCGGCUUUCGGCUCUGAUGAGGGGUCUGCCCGCCGCUGAUUGCAAACACUAAUGAACUUACAGCGCCAUCUGAAAUUCACACGCACCUACAAAGUGCAGGGGGUGGGCAUUUCAGGUCAGCGGAGUCACCCGAAGAGGUAGGAGUGCAAGACACUGCCGGGAAGAUGGAUUUCGAGGCAGAAGGGUGUAAUUAAGGAUUUCCACUCUCGGUAGGCGGCCCGUCCUUUACAAGAGGCUCUGAAAAUGACCUGCGCCUUCCCUUCCAGAGUGUCCUCUCGUCCGAAACUGAAAAGCGCAAAUGACCUUCGCACGCGGGAAGGGGCUCUGAACACCAAGAUUCCUUGCAAGCCCCAACUCGGGGCUGGCGGAGAACAAGUGUCUGCCCUCGGGUUCAAGCACCAGGUCCUCCCCAACAAGCGCGCAGCGGCCAGGGGGCUGGAUUCUGGAGUCCUCUAAAGGCUCCACACCCCGCAUUCUCCGACCCCCCCAUCCCCCGUUCUCCCCUCAGAUUAGCAGCCAAACGCUACCUCUGCCUCGACUUUGUUUGCUGUGGGAGGAAAAUAAAAGUUUACUACUCUCCACAA